UACGUAGGGUGCAAGCGUUAAUCGGAAUUACUGGGCGUAAAGCGUGCGCAGGCGGUUGUGCAAGGCCGAUGUGAAAUCCCCGGGCUUAACCUGGGAAUGGCAUUGGUGACUGCACGGCUAGAGUGUGUCAGAGGGGGGUAGAAUUCCACGUGUAGCAGUGAAAUGCGUAGAGAUGUGGAGGAAUACCGAUGGCGAAGGCAGCCCCCUGGGUCAAGAUUGACGCUCAUGCACGAAAGCGUGGGGAGCAAACAGG
rnacentral:rRNA from 1 species